rnacentral:rRNA from 1 species
UACGGGGGGGGGCAAGCGUUGUUCGGAAUUACUGGGCGUAAAGGGCUCGUAGGCGGCCAACUAAGUCGGAUGUGAAAUCCCCAGGCUUAACCUGGGAACUGCAUCCGAUACUGGAUGGCUUGAAUCCGGGAGAGGGAUGCAGAAUUCCAGGUGUAGCGGUGAAAUGCGUAGAUAUCUGGAGGAAUACCGGUGGCGAAGGCGGCAUCCUGGACCGGCAUUGACGCUGAUGAGCGAAAAGCUAGGGGGAGCAAACGGG